AACGAACGCUGGCGGCAUGCCUAACACAUGCAAGUCGAACGAGACCUUCGGGUCUAGUGGCGCACGGGUGCGUAACGCGUGGGAAUCUACCCUUGGGUUCGGAAUAACAGUUAGAAAUGACUGCUAAUACCGGAUGAUGACGUAAGUCCAAAGAUUUAUCGCCCAAGGAUGAGCCCGCGUAAGAUUAGCUUGUUGGUGGGGUAAUGGCCUACCAAGGCGACGAUCUUUAGCUGGUCUGAGAGGAUGAUCAGCCACACUGGGACUGAGACACGGCCCAGACUCCUACGGGAGGCAGCAGUGGGGAAGAUUGGACAAUGGGCGAAAGCCUGAUCCAGCAAUGCCGCGUGAGUGAUGAAGGCCUUAGGGUUGUAAAGCUCUUUACCAGGGAUGAUAAUGACAGUACCUGGAGAAUAAGCUCCGGCUAACUCCGUGCCAGCCGCCGCAGUAA
rnacentral:rRNA from 1 species